rnacentral:lncRNA from 1 species
AGGGGUCCCUUGGACUCCCACCCUUCCCCACCCUCUCCUGGGUUCUCUCCCACUCGGACUUUCUCGCUGCGGGUAGGUGGGCACUUGGCACCCUGAAAGAGACCCUGUCCUUUUCCUUUCUGCAGCCGGGCAGCUCCUCACUUUGUUCCCGAAUGGCUCCCUAGACCGUUAUACUAUGUUCCCCAUCCCUGUCCCCGUGUCUCCGUCACUUGCGCUCCUGCUCUUCUGUUCCUUUCUCUGCCUCUCUCUCUCGGUCUCUGCCUCUCUCCUGUCUGCCUGCCUCUCUCUCUCUUUCUCGUCGGGAGCUUCUGGAGCUCCCCUCGGAGCGGACCUUCUGCUGCCAGCAGAUAACAUCACGAUCUUGCCUGGGAGGAGAGAUUUAUAAGUUCUCCCUGAACCACGUGUUUGCCUUCAACAAAGUGACGUGCUAGGAUUACAGUCAGAAGUCCUCUCGUUUACUUAGACCACGAGCUCUCCCUGAACCGUUGAGGGGGUGUGGAAAUGAGGACGGCUGUGGGGAAGGGAGGGAGGAGGUGGAGUGUGCGCCCUGACAACAGUGAUUUAUGGUAUUUACUUUAUAUAGUCAUUUUGGACGCGUCUGUUGAAGGACAAGCUAUCAAGCCUCCCGUUUUUACUCAGCAUGGCUCACUCACAGCCUCCCAAACCAAAUCACUUGCUCUAGAAUGUCUUUCCUCCUAUAUUGUACACACACACACACACACACACACACACACUCUCUCUCUCUCUCUCUCUCUCUCUCUGUCUCUGCAAAUGAGCAUCAGUUUAUUCAGGAUUCACCCAACCCUGAGACCUGCUUCCAAUCCAAGAUUCACCUCUUACUUUUUAGUGGAAUUAUUUUCUGGGAUUCCACCAGACUGUUGCUAGUACCUUUAUCCUGAAGCUUAUUACAGUUUGCUGUUUACUGUCUAGUCCUCCAUUUGACAGUGAAUUGCUGAAAACAUAAAACAGAUCUUCAUCUUUUUUAUCUAGAGAAUGAAAUCCAUUUACUUGUUUCAUUCUUGAAAUGAAUGAAUGGGUAUCUGAAUUGGCUGCCCACACCACUUUUUGCUAUGGCUCUCUCUUCACCUUCUUCCCCAGAUAGACAUGAGUAACCACCUUCAUUCUUUCCGUAGCAUACAUCCAGGAAGCUGGAAUUGUAAAGUGUUUGAUGUCUGCUGUUGGGCACUACAUACAACUUGACAUUUUCUGUUUCACUCUAGUCUCAGAUGAAUCCAAGAAUGAUUCUUGCCACUGUUCACUUUUCCCUUUGUCUUUUUAUUUUAUUUUAUUCAGUUACUCAAAGUCAGCAUUUUCAUUUCAUCAUGACUGUGGCCAUACUGCCUAGCAGAUGAUUUCAACUGGAAACUCUCGUUUUCCCCCAAACUCAAAGCCUCUACAAGCUUUGAGCUCUACAUCCUUUGUUCAGAUGUUUCUUUUAUGAUAGAAAGGUCACAAGGAACUUUAACUUCAGUUUACAUGGGGGUGGGGCCCGUAUCAUUUGUAAAUAAAGGGUUGAAUAAAUAGUCAUAAUUAUAGCGGACAUAUACUACCCUUAGUA